rnacentral:tRNA from 1 species
GAAGUAGAAGUUUUAAAUAAUUGACCUGCAAUCAAAAGAAGAUGAAAAUUCAUCCUACUUUA